UGGAAAUCGUGGCUGCCCUGAAACCACGUCACUGUCAGAAUAUAUGUUCCCUCAAAAACCUGCAGACACUAAAUAAUCUGCAUCUGUUCACAGAAAGAUGCUGAAAGGAAAGGUGAAGACUAACCCAAGAUUGCUCAUAUGCCACAAAUUGAUAUCAUACAUCCAUGAAGAUUGAACUGAUACACAAUGCCUUUCAGAGUUUGUCGAAGAGAAGAAAGAUUUGAUCCAAGAUAUUCCUAAAGAUCGGAAACUUUCAAAGCCACCCAAGAUCCCACAGCCUACCUUAAUAAUUUGGGGAGACCAAGAUAAGGUAUUCCUAGUAGAACUGGCUCACAAAUUGAAAAGGCAUUUCAGGUGAGGAGGCCCAACUUGUGAUCAUAGAGCAUACUUUUAUUAUAGAGAAGCCCAAGGAAAUAUUUAAGCACUUGAAAUCCUUUCUCAUUGAUUUGCUUCCACCUCCCAAGCAACACCUAGAACCACUCACACCAUGACCAAGUUAAAUGGAACUAAUGCAACAUUCUCAAUAUAUUAUAAUAUAUCGAAGGAAGGGUGGCCACAUAUGAAGACCCUAUUCCAAGAACUUGGAAUUCAUGGCUAUCCUGAAUUGACAUCCCUACCAGAAGAUAUGUUCCCUCAAAAGCUUGUAGACACUAAACAAUUUGAAUCUGUUCACACUUAGAGGAAAUCUGCUGAAAGAAAAAGUGAAUACUAACCAAAGAUUGCUCAUAUCCCACAAAUUGAUAUCAUACAUCCAUGAAGAUUGAACUGAUACAGAAUGCCUUUCAGAUGAUAUGAUCCAAACUCAAAUUGAACACUACUCUU